rnacentral:tRNA from 1 species
GGAGGUGUGGCAGAGUGGUCUAUUGCACUGGCUUUGAACCCCAGCGACGGGAAACCGCCCAAGAGUUCGAAUCUCUUCGCCUCCGCCA